rnacentral:ncRNA from 2 species
AGAGAAGCAUGUAACUGACGGAAGUGGAAUUACCACGGGGAGCAUGGUUCAUGAUACGCCGACCGUCUGGGCAAGGGUU